GAUUAUACAUUGUUUAGGGUUGUGUUUUCUUUAGGGUGGUUGGAUUAUGACAUGUCUAGAGACUGGAUUAGUACCAGAAUUCGAGGAGUGGAAAAUUGAAGAAUGUCAAUGAAUUUGGUCACCUUUGAUUGCCAGGGCAAGCAUAUUUUUGGAAUUUAGCUGUGACAUUAGCAUUAAGGAUUCAGAAUCUUUUUUCUUCACAGAAGUACAGGUACUCGUCAGCUCUUUUUUCUUCUUGCUCUUUCAAAUAUCAGACGGGAUAAUCUAUAAUUAAAAAC
rnacentral:lncRNA from 1 species